AGUGAACGCUGGCGGUAGGCCUAACACAUGCAAGUCGAACGGCAGCACAGUAAGAGCUUGCUCUUACGGGUGGCGAGUGGCGGACGGGUGAGGAAUACAUCGGAAUCUACUUUUUCGUGGGGGAUAACGUAGGGAAACUUACGCUAAUACCGCAUACGACCUACGGGUGAAAGCAGGGGAUCUUCGGACCUUGCGCGAUUGAAUGCGCCGAUGUCGGAUUAGCUAGUUGGCGGGGUAAAGGCCCACCAAGGCGACGAUCCGUAGCUGGUCUGAGAGGAUGGUCAGCCACACUGGAACUGAGACACGGUCCAGACUCCUACGGGAGGCAGCAGUGGGGAAUAUCGGACAAUGGGCGCAAGCCUGAUCCAGCCAUACCGCGUGGGUGAAGAAGGCCUUCGGGUUGUAAAGCCCUUUUGUUGGGAAAGAAAAGCAGCAGGUUAAGACCCCGCUGUUCUGACGGUACCCAAAGAAUAAGCACCGGCUAACUUCGUG
rnacentral:rRNA from 1 species